rnacentral:lncRNA from 1 species
CCCCGGGGCGGGGGGUGGGGGGGGGAGGGCCAAGAGCAUCUCAGUGGCAACCAUGAUAGAGGAAACCAGGGUCCCUCUGCAAUUUUCCAGCACUGUCCCAGUCCUAAUGUGAGUGUACCCCAACACGACUAAUGCUAGAUUUUCUGCCUCAUGUUUUCAAUUUGAUUGAUAGUCUAGAUUUAAUUCAAUUUAGAAAAAUAAAUGGAGUAUCUUCUACAUCUCGUGUAUCAGAACAAAAUUGUACGUUCUCAAUAAGGGUGAUAUCUCUCCAAGGGGAUGCAAAUUAGUUCUGGGGUUGGGUUGAAAAAGUCUUCCUCCUUUUGUGUAUGAACCACAAAUAUACAUACAGUACAUAAAGAGCCUAUAGUAUAUCUGUGGUAUAUCAUGGGGAGAUUAGGAAAAAUUGUUCAAAAAUGACUCUUUAAAAAGAUGUGUGAAAAUGAAAAUAAGUUGAGAAACACUGCUCUAAGGUCUCAGAUUCUUAGAGAAUUUUAGUGAAAUAUUAAAAGUUAUAAAGGUCAGAGAGGAAGAUAUAAAGUGCCAUUUAGGAAGGAAGAUACAUAUCCAAUACUUGCAGGACCAGAAGGAGAUGGGGAGAAGGACAAGGAUAUAGGCAGUAUAAUUUUUUUUUUUUUUGCUGUUUAGAUGGGGAAAAACUCACAUAAAUAAAACAAUAAAUUCAUUAAGUUCAUUCCUUUAACCUAGGAGAUAUUGUUAUAAGGUUUUAAAAUGUCUCUGCAAAUGUCAGGAAUCAGAAUUUCCUCGAUUACUCAUGUUUAAUGCAUUCUCUCUCACAGGUAGAACUUGCCGAUUGCUGGGGCGUGAAAUCUAAGCAUCUUGGCUAUGUGGCUUUAGGUGUCCUCUCUUUCCCACAGUCAGAUUUGGUACAGUCCUACACUCUAUUUGCUCCCUCCAUAAAUAAUUCCUGUCAGAAUCCCUGGAAAGAAAUGUUAACAUGUGAGAAAUCAUGCAAAUGUGUUUUACAACUGAGCAAUGAGCAAAUGGGACAUGAGGCAUUCUUAAAGGACCCUGGACUGCUGUUUCACAAGCCCAAGCCAUCUCUGCUCUCGCAAGUACCUGCAUGGAUACUUUUCUACUGGAAUGAUCACCAAGGAUGA